GUGCUCACUCACUUGAGCAACACAUACACUUAAACUGGAACUAUACAGAGAAGAUUAGCAUGGCUCCUGAGCAAGGAAGACACGCAAAUACUUGAAACGUUCCAUAUUUUU